AGUGGCGAACGGGUGAGUAAUAUAUCGGAACGUAUCCAAUAAUGGGGGAUAACUAGUCGAAAGAUUAGCUAAUACCGCAUACGCCCUGAGGGGGAAAGCUGGGGAUCUUCGGACCUAGCGUUAAUGGAGCGGCCGAUAUCUGAUUAGCUAGUAGGUGAGGUAAAGGCUCACCUAGGCGACGAUCAGUAGCUGGUCUGAGAGGACGACCAGCCACACUGGAACUGAGACACGGUCCAGACUCCUACGGGAGGCAGCAGUGGAGAAUUUUGGACAAUGGGGGCAACCCUGAUCCAGCCAUUCCGCGUGAGUGAAGAAGGCCUUCGGGUUGUAAAGCUCUUUCGCAAGGGAAGAAAACUUAGUCUCUAACAUAGACUGAGGUUGACGGUACCUUGAUAAGAAGCACCGGCUAACUACGUGCCAGCAGCCGCGGUAAUACGUAGGGUGCGAGCGUUAAUCGGAAUUACUGGGCGUAAAGCGUGCGCAGGCGGCCUGAUAAGUCAGAUGUGAAAUCCCCGAGCUCAACUUGGGAACUGCGUUUGAAACUAUCAAGCUAGAAUAUGUCAGAGGGGGGUAGAAUUCCACGUGUAGCAGUGAAAUGCGUAGAGAUGUGGAGGAAUACCAAUGGCGAAGGCAGCCCCCUGGGAUAAUAUUGACGCUCAUGCACGAAAGCGUGGGGAGCAAACAGGAUUAGAUACCCUGG
rnacentral:rRNA from 1 species